GUACUCAUAUACAGAUAUUUCCUGGUGUCAAAAGUGAAAGUAAACCCCGGGUGUUGCAAUCGUGACACGUUGGCACUGAGAAAAGCUUAUUUUGGAUACCAAAAAGUAGUGUGUGUAGUGAUCAACCAUGGUGAUCAGUUCGGCUCAGCUGCUUAACAUUAUGGAGGAUCUGGACUCAGGCGGGUUGAAGAGAUUUCAGUGGUUCCUGACUCAGGGUGUGUUGAAUGACUAUCCUCCCAUCCCAAAGAGCUUGCUGGAGAAUAGAGACAGGAUGGACACAGUGGAUAAAAUGGUGCAGAGCUACAGACUGGACGGUGCUGUGACAAUCACUCUGAAGAUCCUGGAGAAGAUGAACCAGAAUAGUCUUGCUGAGAAGUUAAAUAAAUACGUAUAGCUAGAGAGAAGAGGCUCAGUGGCUCUGCUGACCAAGCUGAUAAAUAAGGAUAAAGCUAAGGGGAGAUUCUACCUGACCCUGUCAGCGGACCUGGAGAAGCAGACAACAUCCUGAAAGAUGUCAUGCAUACAGCAAGAUUAAAGGGGUGUUGUUCUGAAUUCAACACAAGCCAAACGAGAAUGAGCAAGAACAUCUUCAUUUGCCUUGCUGUUUCAAACAAAAGGACAUUACUGUAUACUAAUAAGCUGAUCCAACAGGGGUUGUUACAAGGCAAACUUAAGACUAACAAUAUUGUUUGAACCCCAGGAAGUGUAGCUGCUGCCUUGGCAGCUAAUUAGGGAUCCUAAUAAAUACAAAAUUGUUUAAUGUAUGGACAGCAAGCACACAGUCGAAAUAUACAUUUAUUUUUUUGCCUUCACAUGUAUAUGGCUGUUUGACAAGAUUAGGCCUAAUACUGGACUGUUGUGGGCUGUAUUGCAUGCAAAGAUAGCCCUUUUUUAUUUUUUAACAUUAGCUUGGUUUACAGUGCACUGUUCCUCAAUAUGGAGUCACUUAGAAAUGUCCUUGUUUUUGAAAGAAAUACACAUUUUUAUCCAUUAAAAUUGAUCAGAAAUACA